UACAGAGGUCUCAAGCGUUGUUCGGAAUUAUUGGGCGUAAAGGGUGCGUAGGCGGCAGGAUAAGUUAGAUGUGAAAAUGUCGACGCUUAACGUCGAACCUGCAUUUAAGACUGUCUUGCUUGAGCGCUAGAGAGGAGUCUGGAAUUUACGGUGUAGCAGUGAAAUGCGUAGAUAUCGUAAGGAAGGCCAGUGGCGAAAGCGGGUCUCUGGACAGUUCCUGACACUGAGGCACGAAGGCCAGGGGAGCAAACGGG
rnacentral:rRNA from 1 species